GGGGGUGAUUCUGGAUUCGACCGGGAGUUACCGAGCCUAAGGUGCAUGUCGAGGGCGGAUUGCCUCGUUAAAAGUCCAUUAAAAUAGUCGCAAACGACGAAAACUACGCUUUAGCAGCUUAAUAACCUGCGUAAAGCCAUCGGUGUUAGGCCCUGCUAGUGUCGUCUAGCAAAUCCGGUGUCAGUUUCUCACUAGCUCGUGUGGAAGCCCCGCUUGAGGUGGAAGCAUUAAAGAAUUUUUCAAGCUGGAUACUCAGUGGCGUGACUCUCCGCAGCUGGUAUUAAGAUUAAAGAGAUGUCUAAGCAUGUAGUACUGAGGGUAGAGUCUCUUGGGACGUGGGUUCAAAUCCCACCACCUCCACCA
rnacentral:tmRNA from 1 species